rnacentral:lncRNA from 1 species
UAUAAGCCCUAAUUAAUGAAUAAUGACGUCGAUAGUGAGCGAAUCGUGUUUCAUGUUUUCAGAUCCGGUUAAUCUUAUAAAAAUCUAUCCUUACACUCUGGAACACCUUCGCUGCAUCCACUCUCGUCCUCGUUCAACUACACCAAGAGACGCUCCUGCGCAGCGCUCUACUAAUAACUUCCAAUCUUGAAAUGAUAUGGAGGCAAGCGUGAGGUUAAGACUAACUCUUUAAUCCUUAUUUAGGGACGAUUAAUACAUUUCUGAUACGCUCCGUAUUCAGCUUCACCGGAACACUUAUUUGGAGCUCUCAAUGGCUAAGGUGCAUAAGCUGUCUUCUUUGUUUCCUAUGGAUUUGUUGAUUAAGAGGGAUGAGUUUGCCAUUCAAUUCGUUCCAGAGAGUCUCCCACAAUGCUGUCUUGAAAGGUUAUCUGUAUUUAAGAUAGAAGUAGAACGUACACGAGUUAUUACUAUCAACAUCAUUCAGAACUUAAUCUAUAGGUCUCAAACUGUACAUUAAGACUAAUUCAUCUCGUGGGUUGAUGUGAUUGUAUCCUAGUAAAGAAAGAACGGCACCGAUUAUCGACUUCUUGGAAUAUGUCAUAUUUCUAAAUAAAUAGUGAUCAAAGCUGUAAGAUGUCGUAAAGAGUUCGGGAUGACUCAUGAAGUAGGAUUUACAGAAAAGAGAACAUAGUCUACGAUUACUCUCCAAAAAGUGACGAUUUCUCCGUAAAUAUCUUAAGGAUCUGUUUUUUGGGAUAUCAUUUGAAAACUAAGAGAACACAUAUUAUGACUACUAAUAGAUAUCUAAUUGAAUAUUUUUUAUUCUACAUAACAUACCAACAUGAAGGCUCUGUUCUCAAAAAAAGUGUUUGGACAAUCCAGUGAAAUUUUUCCUUAAGAAUAAAGCCACAAAUUCAUUGUUACUACGAAGUCUUAAGGACAUGUUGAAGUUGAAUACUAUCUAGAAUGAUGCUACUAUUUUUAGCCCAAACCCCAUGAGGAGUUUGAAGUAAAUAAUCUACUUUUCGAGAUUAUCCUUUUUGCCCAGAUGAAAUUUAACUGUACAUGUACGGAGUAUCUCUGAUCGUAAUACGAUGUCGAUUUACAAACUGAGUCAAAGGUUUUUAUCUAAUUGCCAUAAAGUGUCGUCGAAGAUCCUCUUUUAAUAUCACUAGACCUAGGAGAUUGGUUGAUUUUGAGUAUUUGAAAGAAGUAAAGAAUUUUAUUAAUGACGAUUCGAUCAAGGUUACAAAUACCAGACAAUGUUAUCCAGGAACCAAAAUUUUGACUAUAAUUGUUAAUAAUGGGAAAAAUAUUUACAAUCAUCAAUGAAAUUUUAACUGAACUGCAGAAUUUUCAAAAUACGUUCAAUUGUCCGGGAAAUCUUGCAAUUAAUUCAGAUUCGUUUGGUUAUAAUUAAUUAAAUGAAGCGUUCAACGCAUAUUGAAGAAUAACUCGAUUUAAAGUUUUUAAGAUUUGUGCUUAGCAAAUGAUGGAAUAUACAUAUAUCGAUAAUAAUAAUGGAUGCCUAAAAAACCACCAAAAUGUUUCGAAUAAUGACACUUUUCUACAAUAACAACAUUUACGUCUUUUGUUGCAGGUUACGAAAUUCCAAAAAGCGGACCCACAGACCCUAAAUAAAACAACCCGCCCUCUAUUAGUGAUAACGAUAAAUAUGAGAAUAUAUGAAUAGCUAUAAAUUGAGCUAUUAUGGAGCGACAUAGUUCAAUGGAUAAUGCGCUCGGGAGAAGUCAGUCUCUUGUACUCAAUAUGCUUAGGUUCUAUACUCUGUUCCUCCAACGGAAGGAAAUAUACUUAAUGAAUAUGGACUUCACCAAAAAGAUUCCUA